UACAGAGGGGGCAAGCGUUGUUCGGAAUUACUGGGCGUAAAGGGCGCGUAGGCGGCCUGCUAAGUCGAACGUGAAAUCCCCGGGCUCAACCCGGGAACUGCGUCCGAUACUGGCAGGCUUGAAUCCGGAGAGGGAUGUGGAAUUCCAGGUGUAGCGGUGAAAUGCGUAGAGAUCCGGAGGAACACCAGUGGCGAAGGCGACACGCUGGGCCGUACCUGACACUGAUGCGCGACAGCAUGGGGAGCAAACAGG
rnacentral:rRNA from 1 species